AGAGCCGGGCACUGGGGGAGCCAGGCACUGUGCUCUCCUGUGACGCUGUAGACACCAUCCUGAGCUGUGCAGACCCCAGCGCUGCCCAGAGCGGAGCAGAGGGGGCCGGGCCAAGGAGUGGGAGCUGGGGACAGGGAACCUGGAGGCGAGGUGGAUAGAGCCCCGGAGACCGCCCUAGGGACCUACUCCAGACCAAACUCUGCCAGACCUCGGAGCACUGGGGCCUCCUUCUCUGCCCUCCCUCCUCAGGCAAGGCCUCUGGAGCUCCCCAGCUCUCGUGGAAGCCCCAGGGGCCCAGGACUGACCCAGCCUCUUUCACAGCCAGAGUCCUGGUGGAGGAUGACGAGAUCAUGCAGGGAUUCAUCAGGGCUUUCAGGCCCCUGCCCAGGCACCUAUGGUACUUGCUGGACUUGAAACAGAUGGAAGGUGAGCUCUGCCUAGGACACGCCCAGCCUCAGCUGGAGGAGAAGCUGCCUCUUUCUCAGCCUGAGCCCCCUGCUGGCUCUGUAGGACUCAGGUCACUCCUUUUUGGCCCCUCCCCUGUUCUCCCCCGGCCUCCUGGGGUGCAGAGCCACCCUGAGAUGGGGUCCUGCCCUCUCCCGCCAUCUUUUCACCCCCUCUCUAGCCCUGGUCUAGGUGAGCUCCUGCCUGGUCCUGCCUCCUGGGUAAUGUAUCAGCCUCGCCCACUGUCUGCGGCUGCCUCUCUGGGCCCCUGGGACAGACCCCACUGUGUCCAGUUCAGGGCUGACCCUGCAGGAAUGAACUGGGGUCUGGUCUUGUGAUUCCAGAAAGCCAGGCUGCUGACGUCCCCAUCCACCAGCCCAGCCUGUGUCUUGCAGCCAUUGUAUUAGUCACAGGCUCGUGCCCUAUAGUCAGACCUCAUGCUUUCUUUUGGAGUUCGGGGUGUUGGUUGGAAAUAGUGGGGGCUAUAGGAGGAAGGAGGAUGGUUACACGGAAGGGCAUGAGAAGCUGGGGACCUGCAGGUCUCAGUCCCACAUUCUUUUUUUUUUUUUUAAGAUGGAGUCUCGCUCUGUCACCAGGCUGGAGUGCAGUGGCACAAUCUCAGCUCACUGCAACCUCGACCUCCUGGGUUCAAGCGAUUCUCCUGGCUCAGCCCCCCGAGUUGCUGGAACCACAGGCGUGUGCCACCAUGCCCAGCUAA
rnacentral:lncRNA from 1 species